UACGAAGGUUGCGAGCGUUGUUCGGAAUCACUGGGCUUAAAGAGCACGUAGGCGGCCCGUCAAGUGCCUUGUGAAAUCCCACGGCUCAACCGUGGAAUUGCUUGGUAUACUGUCGGGCUUGAGGCAGGUAGAGGUGCGUGGAACUCUUGGUGGAGCGGUGGAAUGCGUAGAUAUCAAGAGGAACGCCGGAGGCGAAAGCGAUGCACUGGGCCUGUCCUGACGCUGAGGUGCGAAAGCCAGGGGAGCAAAC
rnacentral:rRNA from 1 species